rnacentral:rRNA from 1 species
AUUGAACGCUGGCGGCAGGCCUAACACAUGCAAGUCGAGCGGAUGAGUGGAGCUUGCUCCAUGACUCAGCGGCGGACGGGUGAGUAAUGCCUAGGAAUCUGCCUGGUAGUGGGGGACAACGUUUCGAAAGGAACGCUAAUACCGCAUACGUCCUACGGGAGAAAGUGGGGGAUCUUCGGACCUUACGCUAUCAGAUGAGCCUAGGUCGGAUUAGCUAGUUGGUGAGGUAAAGGCUCACCAAGGCGACGAUCCGUAACUGGUCUGAGAGGAUGGUCAGUCACACUGGAACUGAGACACGGUCCAGACUCCUACGGGAGGCAGCAGUGGGGAAUAUUGGACAAUGGGCGAAAGCCUGAUCCAGCCAUGCCGCGUGUGUGAAGAAGGUCUUCGGAUUGUAAAGCACUUUAAGUUGGGAGGAAGGGCAGUAAGUUAAUACCUUGCUGUUUUGACGUUACCAACAGAAUAAGCACCGGCUAACUUCGUGCCAGCAGCCGCAGUAA